UAACAUAGUGGCCGCCACUUUAAGCCACUUCCAUACUUUCACUAUUAUUGCAUUAGCAUGUAAUUGUGUACACUUUCCAGUCCUGUACACAAAUGGAUUGGACACUACACAUUCUCCACUGAUUGCAGAUUUUCUUUCCUUCAUGGUCUUCAUGUGCUCACAACUUUUUUCGGUGGAUGCCCAUGCAUUGGGAACCAAAAUUAGAUUUGGAUAUUCUCAGACGUGCCUCUGAAGUUGGCCGAUAGGUACCAUGAGUUGUACCAAGUACGAGAGUUGCAACUCACCAAAACCAUAGGACUGAUUCCUACUUUGUCGAUAUUGUUGAUCACACUGUUUCCUAAUUUUCUAGUUACAACAGACAGAAAUUAAAUUUCCUUAGAUCACACUAACAUAAGCAAAUGCAGCGGUGAGGCAUAAGCCUCGUGUCCCGCAGAUUUUGUUCUUGUUUCAGCCUCCCAGCAGCGCUGUUUCUGAGAAGAAGUGGUGUAGCCAUGGAACUUUGCGAUUGUCGAAGUCUGGGGGCGCGGUGAUCACCAGUCUGGUCCGGGGCACCAGCCAACAUUUCUGGAUAUUUUCUGUUUCAGAGGAAUAAAGAAACUUGCAAGUAGUUGCUGAGGAAGUGUCUUGAGAGUACGGACUACUGUGGCAACAGUUUCAGGUACAGGCAUUCUCAAAAGUUUGUUGCAGUUGAAAGUCUUUUUCACUGCACUAUGGCCUGUUACCAAGGGCUGGGGAAACGUGGGGUAAUUUGAAGUUAUAAGUUGGCUGUCUUCUGAGUUUAGCACCAUGUAACUCAUCGCCGUGGUGAUGGAGGCAGCAAGGACCUAUGAAACACUAGAAAACAUCUACCAGACUACACGGUGCUUCAACUCAGAAGACAGCCAUCAUUGGACUCACCGCUGGGAGUAACUUAAAUCGAAGUUCAGGUUACUUUUUAUCCUAAUACUUAUCGACAAUCUUCUCAAAUUUAUUAAUAUACUUUUGGCUUUAGAGUCAGAUAAAGAGUGAUAAUUUUACAUCAACUUAUUUAUAUUGAUGGCAGAAUUUACUUGUUUUAAUUAAUAAAUUUAAAACAAGUUUUAAAAGUUAGGGAACUUGGUGAUGUUUAUGUAAGUCUGUGACAUAUAAACAAUUCUGUCAUUAGGUAAAUUCUUCGGAACAAAUUUUAAUUGCGUUCUUGAGGAGUCUUGGUAGUGAAUGCGAAGAAAUGUGGCCUGGUUUAAAAAAAGAGAUUGGCCUGUGACCCCGUAUUGUUGUUUAGUUUAGCGUAAUUUCAAAAUCGACAUUGCCGCCACUUUUGUGGACGUGCUGUAAUUAUUCAGUCUUCUGAGUCCUUGCACCCAUCACACAUGGAGUGAAAUUGAUCCAUCACUAUCACUGAAUCCAUUUGGCGGCAUUAUUCUUCUUAUUGUUGUCCAAAUACAAUCCACCACAUGAAUCACAGGGUGAUGGAGGUUGCUGGUGUAGGCCCAGUUCGAGAAAAUAUUUCUGCAGAUGGAUUGUUUGCAGGCACUUCAUGUUGACUUUGGGGUUUUAUUCAACUCUUCAACCACCAAUACCAACCAGCCAUUGACUUUCAUUAAUAAAUGGAUGGUUUAUCCCUUCAGCUUCAACAACAUUGUAGGCUGUUCAUCUGACUUGAUUGGUGGUUAGUCCAAGGACUGCCUUAUGCUUCCACUUCCUACUUUGGAGGGAUUAGAAAUGGUUUUUCAGGUUCAUACUUGCAGGGUCAUCCAGUUGCUCUUUUGUAGUCUUUAGAGUGCAACAUGGUGUAUCAUAUGACUUUCUUUGUAAGGUUGCCAGCCUUCAUUUUUCAUCAGUCAUACAGCAUCCUUCAUACUUUGAGCAGUGUAUGGGCUUUCAUAUGCCAUAGUCCAAAAACAACGGAUCAUAAUCUUGUGGAAGAUAAGAAAACUGCUUCUAAAUCUAAGGCUUUUGUAGUGAAAGCUAUUGAACCUACUCGCAUAUCAUUUUGACGUGUGUGCAAAACACCUUCAACUGACACAGAAACAAAUACAAUCCAUGCCUCCGCAUCCAACUCCAGGACACCUCUAUCCUGUCGACAAGAUCUGGAUACAUGGAUCGGAUGAUCAGGGAGGCCAUCAAAAUUGAAUUGCAUCCCAACAUUGUCAACAGGGAGGAUGAACUUCGCCUGAGCCGGUCAUGGAAGCCUCUCAGUCACUCCCUCCUAAGGCUCUGGAAGCAUCCCAGAGAGCAUGGCAAUCUGUCCCCACCAAGUGCUCCCUUCCACUCUCCUGCUUCCCCCCGCAUCUUGAUCACCCAACUCCUGUGUGUCCCACCAGAUGGACUCCCUGAGGCCCUCAAAAGGGCUGUCUUUCGGACCUCUCUCUAUGUCCUGUUCCUAUAAAUCUAGCGCUUUCCGCUCACAUGGCUUAUUCAUCGCCGUGAUGAUGGAGGCAGCAUGGACCUCUGAAAUAUUGGACAUCUACCAGAUUACACAGUACAACAAUCCAGAAGACAGCAAUCUUCAGACUCGCCGCCAUGAAAACUUCAAAUCCCACAUAGUCUACUAGUACACUGGCAGAAUAUUGAUAUUGAUGUAUUAUGCCUUGACAAACUCACUGCACAACUGUUAUCACAAUGAAUCAGUAUCAGCCAUCAGUGGAUUUCAAAAGAUGAAUUUUAUACACUCAGCAGUUCAAUAUGACUAAUUAAUUUGGUGAAAGCUUUAUGGAUUUUAGUGAAUUUCAGUUUAAA